GAUUAAGAAUUUACUAAAUAAAUAGAUGAAAC
rnacentral:tRNA from 1 species